UACUUCUCCUCCUUACAUACAAUGUAACAUGUUUUGACAAAAACUUAUAUGGGCCUUUAUAAACAGGCCCAAUUAAAUACAAGGCCUUUAAACUAAUCGAAACUGGUUCGCCCAUAACAUCAUACCUCAGAAUUUAACGAAAUGUAUUAAGCAAUUAGAGAGCAAGAAGAACUCAGCGAGUGAGAGUUUUGAAUCGAGAGAGCGAGAAUGGAUCCAGAGCAAGUAGACGAGUUCGUCAUGGGCUACUUGAAGAAGAAAGGCUUCAACAGCGCUGCUAAACAUCUCCAAGAAUCUCUUCACAAUAACAAUGGCAGCACCUUCAGCUCUAUCGAUUAUCACAACGACCCUGAGCUCAACAAGCUCAUCCGCUCCUUUUCCCAAUCAGAGAAUGAUCCAUCUCGGUACCGUGAAGGUUACAGCAAGCUAAGGUCAUGGGGUUAUAACUCACUGGAUCUUUAUAAGCAUGAGUUGGUUCGAGUGAUGUAUCCUGUGUUUAUUCAUUGUUACAUGGAUCUAGUGGGGAAAGGGCACACUCAAGAAGCGAGAUCCUUCUUUAACAGCUUCCGCAAGGAUCAUGAAAUGGUACAUCUACGGGAUCUUCAGAAGCUGGGAGGCGUUCUUGCUCCAUCUCAUCUACAGGAAAUGGAGUUUGCUCGUUCUCUUAGACAAAGCAAGAUCAACAUCAAAAUUUGUCAGUAUUCGUAUGAUUUAUUGCUUCAGUACCUACAUAGAACAGAGUCUACUCUAAUGCUUGGUAUUAUCAACGAGCACAUCAAUUUCCAAGUCUACUCAGGACAGCCUAACUCCGCAUCUGAUGACAUAGAAGCUGUCACCAUUGUUGGGAGUUUUCAUGAGACAGCUGAUCACGUCAAUCAAAAAGAAAUACACUGGGGAUUGCUUGAGGACUCGCUGGAAGAUCGCCUGGAGAAGACGGGAGGUCUACUGUCUGAUUCCGAGAAGGGACAAGGAGAAAGUAAAGCUGGGGAUAUGGAUGAUAGUAAGAAAAGAUCCGCCGAAAUUGGAAAGCAAGGCUCUUCCAUAAAGAAGUUAAAGAAGGACAAAGCAGGAACUGCAACAACAAAAGUUGCACGUCAGGAGACCAGCACGGUGUUGUCGUCGAUGCCACGUGUGAAACCGGAACUCGCCAUGCCAGUAAUGUCUGCGGAUGUAGAGGAAUCGAUCCUUGAAGACCUGAGAAACCGUGUGCAGUUGAGUAGCAUCGCAAUGCCGUCUGUCAGCUUUUACACAUUUGUUAAUACUCAUAACGGGUUAAACAGUUCAUCUAUAUCUCAUGAUGGAUCUCUGGUUGCUGGUGGGUUCUCAGAUUCAUCAAUAAAGGUCUGGGACAUGGCGAAGAUAGGACAAGCUGGCAGUUGUGCGUUGCAGGAUGAAAAUAAUCAAACCGUUGGACUAAAUGGCAGAAGAAAUUAUACAUUAUUAGUGGGACACUCAGGGCCAGUUUACUCGGCCACUUUCAGUCCUCCAGGAGAUUAUGUUUUAUCUUCUUCAGCAGAUACAACAAUAAGGCUGUGGAGCACAAAAUUAAAUGCCAAUCUUGUGUGUUACAAGGGUCAUAAUCACACUGUAUGGGAUGCCCAGUUUAGCCCUUUUGGGCAUUACUUUGCAAGCUGUUCUCAUGAUCGUACUGCGCGGAUUUGGUCAAUGGAUAGAAUGCAACCUCUGCGGAUGAUGGCAGGGCAUCUCUCUGAUGUUGAUUGUGUACAGUGGCAUCCUAAUUGUAACUACAUUGCAACCGGUUCUAGUGAUAAGACGGUGAGACUCUGGGAUGUACAAACAGGGGAAUGUGUCAGGAUAUUCAUUGGACACAGGAGCAUGGUUUUGUCAUUGGCGAUGUCACCAGAUGGGAGAUAUAUGGCCUCUGGUGAUGAAGAUGGAACCAUAAUGAUGUGGGACCUCUCAACAGCUCGCUGCAUCACACCUCUCAUGGGCCAUAACUCAUGUGUCUGGACUCUCUCUUACAGCGGUGAGGGCUCUCUUCUGGCUUCUGGAUCUGCGGACUGCACAGUGAAACUGUGGGACGUCUCCUCAAGUACCAAAUUGACAAAGGCCGAAGAAAAGUGAAAAUGGGAACUCAAACAGACUGCGAUCACUCAGAACUUUCCCCACUAAGUCCACACCUGUUCACGCUCUCCGAUUUUCUCGGAGAAACCUGCUGUUUGCUGCAGGAGCGAUCUCUAAACCCUCAAGCUGAUGGAAACAAAUGGUAUAUGCUUUUACAUUCUUACAAACUGUUUGUAGAUCAAAAGAAAUCAGGUGAAGAAUAGUCCUCUUGAUAUUAUCAAUAUCUUUGAAUUCGAUCUGCACAUAUAAUUUUUACUGCAAAUUACAUCGGGUUAUAAUUUUGUUGUAAUUCAACUCUAAUAUAUCUUAAUACUGCAUGUCAGACACCAUUGGCUCUAUUUCUUGGUUUAUAAUGUUACAGUAGAAAGUUUGAUCGGUUUAAACAUGUUUGAAGACAUUUACUAAGAAAAUGUUGGACGAAGACAGAAAAUCUACCUUUGGUAGAUUUGAUUGAUAGACAAUUGUAUACUUUUUGGAAUUAUAUGUUUGGGAUGUGUUUC